rnacentral:rRNA from 1 species
CCUACGGGGGGCAGCAGUGAGGAAUAUUGGUCAAUGGCCGGAAGGCUGAACCAGCCAUGCCGCGUGAAGGUCAGUGCCCUAUGGGCGUUAAACUUCUUUUGUGCGGGAGCAAUAAUGGUCACGUGUGGCCAGACGAGAGUACCGUACGAAUAAGCAUCGGCUAACUCCGUGCCAGCAGCCGCGGUAAUACGGGGGAUGCAAGCGUUAUCCGGAUUUAUUGGGUUUAAAGGGUGCGUAAGCUGUGAGGUAAGUCAGCGGGGAAAUGCCCCCGCUCAACGGGGUGAAGUGCCAUUGAUACUGCCUUGCUGGAGUGCGGAUGCCGUGGGAGGAAUGUGUGGUGUAGCGGUGAAAUGCAUAGAUAUCACACAGAACACCGAUUGCGAAGGCAUCUCACGAAUCCGCGAUUGACGCUGAUGCACGAAAGCGUGGGUAUCAAACAGGAUUAGAUACCCUUGUAGUC